GAUGAAGAACGCAGCUAAAUGCGAUAAGUAGUGUGAAUUGCAGAAUUCAGUGAAUCAUCGAAUCUUUGAACGCACAUUGCGCCCUUUGGUAUUCCAAAGGGCAUGCCUGUUCGAGCGUCAUUUGUACCCUCAAGCUUUGCUUGGUGUUGGGCGUCUUGUCUCUAGCUUUGCUGGAGACUCGCCUUAAAGUAAUUGGCAGCCGGCCUACUGGUUUCGGAGCGCAGCACAAGUCGCACUCUCUAUCAGCAAAGGUCUAGCAUCCAUUAAGCCUUUUUUUCAACUUUUGACCUCGGAUCAGGUAGGGAUACCCGCUGAACUUAAGCAUAUCAAUAAGCGGAGGA
rnacentral:misc_RNA from 1 species